GAUGAACGCUGGCGGCGUGCCUAAUACAUGCAAGUCGAACGCUGAAGGAGGAGCUUGCUCUUCUGGAUGAGUUGCGAACGGGUGAGUAACGCGUAGGUAACCUGCCUGUUAGCGGGGGAUAACUCUUGGAAACGAUAGCUAAUACCGCAUGACAACAGUUAUUGCAUGAUAACUGUUUAAAAGGGGCAACUGCUCCACUACCAGAUGGACCUGCGUUGUCUUAGCUAGUUGGUGAGGUAACGGCUCACCAAGGCGACGAUACAUAGCCGACCUGAGAGGGUGAUCGGCCAAACUGGGAAUGGGACACGGCCCAGACUCCUACGGGAGGCAGCAGUAGGGAAUCUUCGGCAAUGGACGGAAGUCUGACCGAGCAAAGCCGCGUGAGUGAAGAAGGUUGUCGGAUCGUAAAGCUCUGUUGUAAGAGAAGAACGAGUGUGAGAGUGGAAAGUUCACACUGUGACGGUAUCUUACCAGAAAGGGACGGCUAACUACGUG
rnacentral:rRNA from 1 species